rnacentral:rRNA from 1 species
ACGUAGGGUGCAAGCGUUAAUCGGAAUUACUGGGCGUAAAGCGUGCGCAGGCGGUUGUUUAAGUCUGUUGUGAAAGCCCCGGGCUCAACCUGGGAACUGCGUUUGAGACUGGGCGACUAGAGUGUGGUAGAGGGUAGCGGAAUUCCAGGUGUAGCAGUGAAAUGCGUAGAGAUGUGGAGGAACACCGAUGGCGAAGGCAGCCACCUGGGCCAAUACUGACGCUCAUGCACGAAAGCGUGGGGAGCAAACAG